rnacentral:rRNA from 1 species
UUGAAAGGGAAACGAUUGAAGUCAGUCGUACCAGCGGGAAAUCAACCUUUCGAGUGGGGGUUUUGGAGUUUUGAAGAGUGUCAAAACCUUUGAGAUUUCAAAAUUUUCGCUCUUUUGGUGUACUUUCUCGUGGGUAGGUUAAUAUCGAUUUUGAUCAUCAUAAAAAGAUUGGAGGAAUGUAGCUUCGAUCUUGUAUUGAAGUGUUAUAGCCUUUGGUAAAUGUGAUGAUUAGGAUCGAGGAUUGCAACGAAUACCCUUUUGGGCUAUCCGCCUGAUCUCUGAUACGUGGCCUUGGUAUCGAAAGCGUGCUUAUGGUAUUGAGGUAUUACGGUCAAAAGGUUAGAACGGAUUACAUUCGUUAAGGAUGUUGACGUA